rnacentral:rRNA from 1 species
UCUGGUUGAUCCUGCCAGUAAUAUAUGCUUGUCUCAAAGAUUAAUCCAUGCAUGUCUAAGUAUAAAUAGUAUACCUUAAAACUGCAAAUGGCUCAUUAAAACAGUUAUAGUUUAUUUGAUAAUCAAACGCUACAUGGAUAACCGUGGUAAUUCUAGAGCUAAUACAUGCUGAUAACCCGGCGCAAGUCGCGGUUGUAUUUAUUAGAUAUUAAACCAAUAUGUUAAUAGCAUUUUGAAGGAAUUACAGUAACUGAUCGAAUCCUUGCUUGUCGAGGAUAAAUCAUUCAAGUUUCUGCCCUAUCAGCUUUCGAUGGUAGUGUAUUGGACUACCAUGGCGAUUACGGGUAACGGAGAAUUAGUGUUCGGUUCCGGAGAGGGAGCCUGAGAAACGGCUACCACAUCUAAGGAAGGCAGCAGGAGCGUAAAUUACCCAAUGUCGACUCGAUGAGCGUAGUGACAAUACAUAACAAAGAGGGGAUUUUUUAUCUUACUCUAUUGCAAUGAGGCAUGUUUAAUAACCUGUUCGAGCAACCAGUGAAGGGCAAGUCUGGUGCCAGCAGCCGCGGUAAUUCCAGCUUCACGAGUGUAUAUUUAAGUUGUUGCAGUUAAAAAGCUCGUAGUUGAACUUCUGUUUGUUCAGGAGGCGUGCAAGCGCAGCCUGGGCGAACAUCCGCCUGAAAAAUCAUUCGGGUCUUCACUGAUUCAGUGAUGGAUCAGGCAUUUUACUUUGAAAAAAUUAGAGUGUUCAAAGCAGGCUUCCGCCUGAAUACAUUAGCAUGGAAUAAUAGAAUAGGACGCUGUUCAAUUUGUUGGUUAUUGAAUUGCGUAAUGAUUAAUAGGGACAGUUGGGGGCAUUUGUAUUUAAUUGUCAGAGGUGAAAUUCUUGGAUUUAUUAAAGACAAACUUAUGCGAAAGCAUUUGCCAAGGAUGUUUUCAUUAAUCAAGAACGAAAGUUAGAGGAUCAAAGACGAUCAGAUACCGUCCUAGUUUUAACUAUAAACUAUGCCGACUCGGUCUCAGUCAAGUCUUCCUAACUUGAUUGGUGCCGUAUGAGAAAUCAAAGUCUUUGGGUUCCGGGGGGAGUAUGGUCGCAAGGUUGAAACUUAAAGGAAUAGACGGAACAUCACUACCAGGUGUGGAUCCUGCGGCUUAAUUUGACCCAACACGGGGUAACUUACCAGCGCAAAACAAGGGUGGAUUGACAGAUUGAGAGCUCUUUCUUGAUUCUUUGGAUAGUGGUGCAUGGCCGUUCUUAGUUGGUGGAGUGAU